rnacentral:rRNA from 1 species
GACGAACGCUGGCGGCGUGCCUAAUACAUGCAAGUCGAACAGUGGCGAACGGGUGAGUAACACGUGAGUAACCUGCCCUCCACUUUGGGAUAACUCCGAGAAAUCGGGGCUACUACUGUAUAGUGGGGGAUGGGCUCGCGGCAUAUCAGUUUGUUGGUUAGGUAGUGGUCCCCAAGGCGGGACGGGUAGCCGGCCUGCGAGGGCGACCGGCCACACUGGGACUGAGAAACGGCCCAGACUCCGACGGGAGGCAGCAGUGGGGAAUAUUGCACAAUGGGCGAAAGCCUGAUGCAGCGACGCCGCGUGGGGGAUGACGGCCUUCGGGUUGUAAACCUCUUUCAGCAAGGAAGCGGUACUUGCAGAAGAAGCGCCGGCUAACUACGUGCCAGCAGCCGCGGUAAUAC